UACAGAGGUCUCAAGCGUUGUUCGGAUUCAUUGGGCGUAAAGGGUGCGUAGGCGGCGCGGUAAGUCGGGUGUGAAAUCUCGGAGCUUAACUCCGAAACUGCAUUCGAUACUGCCGUGCUUGAGGACUGGAGAGGAGACUGGAAUUUACGGUGUAGCGGUGAAAUGCGUAGAUAUCGUAAGGAAGACCAGUGGCGAAGGCGGCUCUCUGGGCCUUACCUGACGCUGAGGAGCGAAAGCGUGGGUAGCGAACAGG
rnacentral:rRNA from 1 species